rnacentral:rRNA from 1 species
UACAGAGGUCUCAAGCGUUUGUUCGGAUUCAUUGGGCGUAAAGGGUGCGUAGGCGGCGCGGUAAGUCGGGUGUGAAAUCUCGGAGCUUAACUCCGAAACUGCAUUCGAUACUGCCGUGCUUGAGGACUGGAGAGGAGACUGGAAUUUACGGUGUAGCGGUGAAAUGCGUAGACAUCGUAAGGAAGACCAGUGGCGAAGGCGGGUCUCUGGACAGUUCCUGACGCUGGAGGCGCGAAAGCGUGGGGAGCAAACAGG